AUUGAACGCUGGCGGCAGGCCUAACACAUGCAAGUCGAACGCGUGGCGGACGGGUGAGUAAUGUCUGGGAAACUGCCCGAUGGAGGGGGAUAACUACUGGAAACGGUAUCUAAUACCGCAUACCAUCGGAUGUGCCCAGAUGGGAUUAGCUAGUAGGUGGGGUAAUGGCUCACCUAGGCGACCAUCCCUAGCUGGUCUGAGAGGAUGACAAGCCACACGGGAACUGAGACACGGUCCAGACUCCUACGGAGGGCAGCAGUGGGGAAAAUUGCACAAUGGGCGCAAGCCUGAUACAGCCAGGCCGCGUGUAUGAAGAAGGCCUUCGGGUUGUAAAGUACUUUCAGCGAGGAGGCGUUACUCGCAGAAGAAGCAACGGCUAACUCCGUGCCAGCAGCCGCGGUAAUUC
rnacentral:rRNA from 1 species